GCGCCUAAUCGCGUAAGGUGUAAGAAGGGCCCUUCCACCACUUGCAGGUUAUGGGGAACCUUUUCUCAUGCCUUGAUAUCGGUUCGGUGCGAGAUAAUAAAGGCGACAACAACAACUACGGACAUGGGUCGCAAGAGAUUACGAUACCCUCAUCUUCUGAAUCGCAAACAAGAUCCAGGAAUAAUAGCGCUUCAAACAACUAUAAUUAGCGAGGCGCUGAUGUAGUUUUACUGUUUCAAGCAACGUAUGAAGGAUGAUGCUGACUUAUCAGUGAAGGGAGUGCAGUGUUGUUAUUGUUCCUUCUUUUCUGUCUUAGCGUGUGGUUUCAAUAUAAACGAUCUUUUAACUUUUUUCUUGUGGAAGGGAGUGAAGAUAGUGUAUGCUUUCCUUCUUUUGUGUUCGUGGUUUCAAUUAUAAGUGUUGGGUUCUGUUUGUACUUAUUUUAUAUAUAUUUGAGUAUGCACACUGUUCGUAUCUUGGGAUAAAAUCACUUUGUAGA